AGGACGAACGCUGGCGGCGUGCUUCAUACAUGCAAGUCGAACGAGAAUCUGGCUUCGGUCAGAGGAAAGUGGCGGACGGGUGAGUAAUGUGUAGAGAAUCUGCCCUUUAGUGGGGGACAACAGUUGGAAACGACUGCUAAUACCCCAUAUGCGCGUAGCUGAGAUGCUAUUCGUGAAAACUCCGGUGCUAAAGGAUGAGUCUGCAUCUGAUUAGCUAGUUGGCGGUGUAAUGGACCACCAAGGCGACGAUCAGUAGCUGGUUUGAGAGGAUGAUCAGCCACAAUGGGACUGAGACACGGCCCAUACUCCUACGGGAGGCAGCAGUAGGGAAUUUUGCGCAAUGGGGGAAACCCUGACGCCAGCAACGCCGCGUGAUUGAAUAAGCCCUUCGGGGUGUAAAGAUCUGUCAGUAGGGACGAAACUUGACGGUACCUACAGAGGAAGCAUCGGCUAACUCCGUGCCAGCCGCGGC
rnacentral:rRNA from 1 species